UUUAAAAUGAGAGUUUGAUCCUGGCUCAGGACGAACGCUGGCGGCGUGCCUAAUACAUGCAAGUCGAGCGAGCUUGCCUAGAUGAAUUUGGUGCUUGCACCAAAUGAAACUAGAUACAAGCGAG
rnacentral:rRNA from 1 species